rnacentral:rRNA from 1 species
UACGUAGGGUGCGAGCGUUGUCCGGAAUUACUGGGCGUAAAGAGCUCGUAGGUGGUUUGUCGCGUUGUCCGUGAAAACUCACAGCUUAACUGUGGGCGUGCGGGCGAUACGGGCAGACUGGAGUACUGCAGGGGAGACUGGAAUUCCUGGUGUAGCGGUGGAAGUGCGCCAGAUAUCGAGGAGGAACACCGGUGGCGAAGGCGGGUCUCUGGGCCGAUGACUGACGCUGAGUAGCGAAAG